CAGCAGGCCCGCGUAAUUCCAGCUCUGUAAGCGUAUACCAAAGUUGUUGCAGUUAAAACGCUCGUAGUCGGAUUUUGGCGUCUGACUUGGGUCGUCCUCGCGGACGCUCCCAGGUUGGGCGCCUUUGUGGAUGGGAGUCAGGUGGUGCUUAGUUGGAUCGCCUGGCUGCCGCCACCGUUUACUGUGAAAAAAUUAGAGUGUUCAAAGCAGGCGAUUGCCCUGAAUACAUUAGCAUGGAAUAAUAGAAUAGGACCCGGUCCUAUUUUGUUGGUUUGUUUGAAUCGGGUAAUGAUUAAGAGGGACGGUUGGGGGCAUUCGUAUUCCGACGUCAGAGGUGAAAUUCUUGGAUUGUCGGAAGACGAACAGCUGCGAAAGCGUCUGCCAAGGACGUUUUCAUUGAUCAAGAACGAAAGUAAGGGGAUCGAAGACGAUCAGAUACCGUCGUAGUCUUUACUAUAAACGAUGAGGACUGGAGAUCGGAUAAGACUGAUAUAUGGCUUAUCCGGCAUCCUUCGAGAAAUCAAAGUGUUUGCUUUCUGGGGGGAGUAUGGUCGCAAGGCUGAAACUUAAAGGAAUUGACGGAAGGGCAUCACCGGGUGUGGAGCCUGCGGCUUAAUUUGACUCAACACGGG
rnacentral:rRNA from 1 species